rnacentral:rRNA from 1 species
AAACCAACAGGGAUUCCCCUAGUAACGGCGAGUGAAGAGGGAAAAGCCCAAAUUUGUAAUCUGGCUCUUUCAGAGUCCGAGUUGUAAUUUUGAGAACUGUUUUCCGUGCUGGACCAUGUACAAGUCUGUUGAAAAACAGCAUCAUUGAGGGUGAAAAUCCCGUACAUGAUAUGGACUACCAGUGCAAUGUGAUACAGUCUCUAAGAGUCGAGUUGUUUGGGAAUGCAGCUCAAAGUGGGUGGUAAAUUCCAUCUAAGGCUAAAUAUAGGUGAGAGACCGAUAGCAAACAAGUACCGUGAGGGAAAGAUGAAAAGAACUUUGGAAAGAGAGUUAAACAGUACGUGAAAUUGUUAAAAGGGAAACAUUUGAAGUUAGACUUGUUAUUGUUGGUUCAACUUCUUUAUUGAGGUGUAUUCCAAUGGUUAACAGACCAGCAUCAAUUUUUGGGUGUUGGAUAAGGGUUUAGGAAAUGUGGCAACCUUGGUUGUGUUAUAGUCCUUUACUUUGAUACAAUGCUUAGGAUUGAGGAACGCAGUAAGCUUUGUAGCAGAUUUCUUUGGAGGUCUUCUUACUA